ACUCCUACGGGAGGCAGCAGUGGGGAAUAUUGGACAAUGGGGAACCCGUAGCAUCCAGCCAUGUCGCGUGUGUGAAGAAGGCCUUCGGGUUGUAAAGCACUUUCAGUGGGGAGGAAAGGUUGAUGGUUAAUACCUAUCAGCUGUGACGUUACCCACAGAAGAAGCACCGGCUAACUCCGUGCCAGCAGCCGCGGUAAUACGGAGGGUGCAAGCGUUAAUCGGAAUUACUGGGCGUAAAGCGUGCGCAGGCGGUCUGUUAAGCGAGAUGUGAAAG
rnacentral:rRNA from 1 species